UCCUUCGUACCAUCGACUGAUAAAGCAAAAUAUAUUAAUUUUUCAGACUAAAUUAUUUUAACAUCUAUGGCUUUACUCUUCUCCAAGUCUUUUUAAGUGCUAGGUUUCAUUUCCUCGCAAUUCACAUCAGGGUAAAUUAUUUUUCUGACAAUAUAUAGAUACAGUCUUAACUGUUCAUUGUUGUGCAGUUUGAGAAUGAAGUUGGUAGUGUUGGUGAUGAUUGUUGUUGGAUUAAUCAUAUUUAGUGUUGAAGCUGAAGGAAGGAAAGAACAAAUUAGCAGUUGGAAAACUAUCAAAUUUGUUAUUAUAUCUAAUAGGAAGUCAAUUACCCAGAGUCAAUACGAUCUAUAUUUUAAUUUAGUUGAUUGAGCAUUAUUGUGGCGACUGGAGAAAAUUUACAUUGAUACAGAAAUUAGUGGAAGAUUGCAAAAAUGAUUAUUUUAAUUUAGCCUUCAGGAUUGACUUGGACUAAUUAAGCAAAGAAAAGAUGUUUUUAAGUACUAAGUAAUUACUUUCCUUGAAAAUGCAUUUUGAAAAAAAGAUGUCACUCCAAGUAUUUAAGUACUAGACUUCGUUAUCUCUACCUUCAUCAGGUUAUUUUCAAAACAUCAAGGCAAAAGCAUCAACAUAGAUACAGAAAUUAUCAUGAAGAGUUUGAACAUGAAGCUGGUAAUCCUAGUCUUGAUUGUUGUUGGAUCAAUCUCAUUCUGCGUUGAAGCUCAAGGAAGAAAAGAAAAAAUUAGCUAUUGGGGCACUAGCAGAAUGCUAUAUGAAGAGGGAAAAAAACACAUCAUGGUAAAGUUGAAAAAAGAUGAAAACUUGCUACUUGGUUUGAGGCCAAAGAGACUUGUGCGUGCUAAAUCUGGUGCCUCCGUUAGUAUCUCUAUACCCGGCGGACAUGGUUGAUUAUGUAUUCGAGAGAACAAGAAGAAGAAGAAGAAGAAGAAGAUAGGGAAGCUUGUAUUCAAAUUUUUUGAGAUUUAUUUCUCAAAAAAAAUUAUAAAUUUCCUAAAUAUUAAUGAAAUAAGAAUGUUUUAUGCUU